CAUAUACUCCCUCCGUCCAAUAAAAGAUGUCUCAAUUUUGACUAAAUUUGAAUACAUUUAUAUACUAAGUCAUGUCUAGAUACAUUCAAGUUUUGACAAACUUGAGACAUCUUUUGUUGGACGGAGGGAGUAUAAA
rnacentral:pre_miRNA from 1 species